rnacentral:rRNA from 1 species
GUGAGGAAUAUUGGUCAAUGGGCUCAAGCCUGAUCCAGCAAUGCCGCGUGCAGGAAGAAGGCCUUCGGGUUGUAAACUGCUUUUGUACGGAACGAAACGGUCCGGGUUAAUACCCUGGGCUAAUGACGGUACCGUAAGAAUAAGCACCGGCUAACUACGUGCCAGCAGCCGCGGUAAUACGUAGGGUGCAAGCGUUAAUCGGAAUUACUGGGCGUAAAGCGUGCGCAGGCGGUUUUGUAAGACAGGCGUGAAAUCCCCGGGCUCAACCUGGGAAUUGCGCUUGUGACUGCACGGCUGGAGUGCGGCAGAGGGGGAUGGAAUUCCGCGUGUAGCAGUGAAAUGCGUAGAUAUGCGGAGGAACACCGAUGGCGAAGGCAAUCCCCUGGGCCUGCACUGACGCUCAUGCACGAAAGCGUGGGGAGCAAACAGGAUUAGAUACCCGAGUAGUCC